rnacentral:rRNA from 1 species
UUCCGGUUGAUCCCGCCGGAAGCGACCGCUAUUGGAGUUCGAUUAAGACAUGCGAGUCUGAGCAUUAGCUCGGCGUACCGCUCAGUAACACGUGGGUAACCUGCCCUAUCGUUUUGAAUAACCUCGGGAAACUGAGAACAAUACAUCAUAGUCCACUACGCCUGGAACGGUGAGUGGAUGAAGGUAGGAUGGGCCUGCGGCGUAUCAGGUUGUAGGGGGUGUAAUGGACCUCCUAGCCAUCGACGCGUACGGGUGUUGGGAGACAUAGCCCGGAGAUGGAUUCUGAGACACGAAUCCAGGCCCUACGGGGCGCAGCAGUUACGAAAACUUGGCAAUGCGGGAAACCGUGACCAGGGAACUCCAAGUGAGUCUCUUUUAGGGGCUCUUUUCUUGACUCUAAAACGGUCUUGGAAUAAGGGGUGGGUAAGGACGGUGCCAGCCGCCGCGGUAAUACCGGCGCCUCAAGUGGUCGUCGCUUUUAUUGGGCCUAAAACGUCCGUAGCCGGUUUGGUACAUUCGUGGGUAAAUCAGCCCGCUCAACGAGUUGAAUUCUGCGAGGACGGCCAUACUAGGGACCGGGAGAGGUGUGGGGAACUCUCAGGGUAGGGGUAAAAUCCUGUCAUCCUGAGAGGACCACCUGUUGCGAAGGCGCCACACUAGAACGGAUCCGACGGUCAGGGACGAAGCCUAGGGGCACGAACCGGAUUAGAUACCCGGGUAGUCCUAGGUGUAAACGCUGUGGACUUGGUGUUGGGGAAGCCCAGAGCUUUCCCAGUGCCGUAGCGAAGGUGUUGAGUCCACUGCCUGGGGAGUACGGUCGCAAGGCUGAAACUUAAAGGAAUUGGCGGGGGAGCACUGCAACCGGAGGAGUGUGCGGUUUAAUUGGAGUCAACGCCGGA